rnacentral:rRNA from 1 species
CGAAACGGAAGGAAGGGUGGGAUAACGUCAAAUCAUCAUGCCCCUUAUGUUCUGGGCUACACACGUGCUACAAUGGCCGGUACAGACGGACGCAAAGCCGCGAGGUGGAGCAAAUCCUAAAAAGCCGGUCUCAGUUCGGAUUGCAGGCUGCAAUUCGCCUGCAUGAAGUCGGAAUCGCUAGUAAUCGCAGGUCAGCAUACUGCGGUGAAUACGUUCCCGGGCCUU